GUAAGUAGACCUGAAAACAAGGAAGUCUAACCCUAGUGGCUAAGAAAAUCCUAACAACUUUAACAGGGGAGCUGGGACGAGGCUUUACCCAUUGACCAAGAAGCGUGCGAAGCAUGCUAUUCCAUUGGGAGCAAACUACAGGCUGAUCGAUAUCCCAGUCAGUAAUUGCCUCAACAGUAACGUGUCCAAGAUCUAUGUGCUGACCUAGUUCAAUUCCGAUUCGCUCAAUCGCCAUCUUUCUGGUGCUUAUGCCAGUAACAUGGGUGGCUACAAAAAUGAAGGCUUUGUUGAGGUUCUUGCUACCCAGCAGAGCCCUGAGAAUCCCAAUUGAUUUAAGGGUACCGCUGAUGCCGUGAGGCAGUACUUGUGGUUGUUUGAGGAGCACAAUGUGUUGGAGUUUUUGGUUCUUGCUAGGGACCACUUAUAUAGGAUGGACUAUGAGAGAUUUAUUCAGGUGCAUGCAGACAUCACUGUGGCUGCUCUGCCCAUGGAUGAGAAGCAUGAUACCGCCUUCGGUUUGAUGAAGUUUGCUGAGAAACCUAAAGGGGAGCAACUCAAAGCUAUGAAGGUGAACAAUCCAACUGCAGGUUGAUACUACUAUCCUGGGUCUUGAUGAUGAGAGAGCUAAAGAGAUGCCUUAAAUUGCCAGCAUGGGUAUAUCUGUUGUGAACAAAAAUGUCAUGUUAGAGCUACCUUGAGACAAGUUUCCUGGUGCAAAUAAUUUCGGGAGUGAAGUUAUUCCAAGCGCAACUUCCAUCGGUUUGAGGGUAAGUUUUCAUUCAUAUAGUUUAUUCUGUAAUUUCUAAGAAAGAUCAAUCAAAAGAGGUGGAAAAGAUUUGGAAUAAUUGUUGGUAUUACAUAAUUGCAAAUAUCUUUCAUUCGAAACUAAACGAACCCCUUUGUACUGAAAAAGAUAAUGUCCUAAAUUGAUUUUAUAUGAUCUGCUAAAUAUUUCCUAGUUCCAUACUUUUUGUCCCCCACUACCCUUCAUCCGGAUAUUCAGCCCCCCGGAAUACUAGUUAUUAAUGCCUACAGGUUCAAGCUUAUUUGUAUGAUGGCCACUGGGAAGAUAUUGGUACCAUUGAGGCUUUCAACUUUCUACAAUGCAAACUUGGGGAUAACCAAAAAACCAGUUCCAGAUUUCAGAACUGUAAAAUUCACCAUUCAGUCGUUGGGCUUCAGUCUUGCAUAGCAAAGGGUGCUGUCAUUGAAGACACAUUACUCAUGAGAGCUGACUACUAUGAGGAUGAUGUGGGAAAUCGAUCAACGAGAGGAAGAAUUGGUUAACCAAUCAGAAGGAAUGUUCAAACGCCAUGCGGCCCAAAAUGAGAAGGAAGAGGAUGAGGAGCGUAAACGGAGAGCUGACGAAUCAAGAAUGGCAAGAGCCUCACAUUCCCGUCAAGUCAUCCAAGCUGUGGCUCAGAUCUGCAGGCCUAGCCACGCUAUAAACAUUGAUAGAAGCAGGCAGCGACGAGGUCAGGAU